rnacentral:tRNA from 22 species
GCGAACGUGGCGGAAUGGUAGACGCGCUGUCUUCAGGUGGCAGUGAGUGUAUACUCGUGCGGGUUCAAGUCCCGCCGUUCGCA